rnacentral:rRNA from 1 species
AACGAACGCUGGCGGCGUGCCUUACACAUGCAAGUCGAACGUGAAAGUCCCUCGGGAUGAGUAAAGUGGCGCACGGGUGAGUAACGCGUAGGUGACCUACCGUCUAAUGGGGAUAACACGGAGAAAUUCGUGCUAAUACCGCAUAAUCAGAGCGAAAUUGAAAAAUGUUCUUGAAAGGAUGCCUCUACUUGUAAGCAUUCGUUAGAUGAUGGGCCUGCGGUGCAUUAGCUAGUUGGUGGGGUAAUGGCCUACCAAGGCAACGAUGCAUAUCCGAUCUGAGAGGAUGAUCGGACACACUGGAACUGAGACACGGUCCAGACUCCUACGGGAGGCAGCAGUGGGGAAUAUUGCGCAAUGGGGGAAACCCUGACGCAGCAACGCCGCGUGAGUGAGGAAGGUCUUCGGAUUGUAAAGCUCUGUCACUGUAGAAAAAUGUCUGUUGGUCUAAUAGGCCAGCAGAGUGGUGGUAUACAGAGAGGAAGCACCGGCUAACUUCGUGCCAGCCGCCGCAGUAA